rnacentral:lncRNA from 1 species
CUACCAAAGAACACACCGUCUUUUCAAGCGCCAGCGAGCGCUCAGGGUGGAAGCCAGCGUGAUGCGCGUUGAAGCGACGGGUCUGAUGCCUGGCAUAGAGUGAGCGCUCAACAAACAGCUGUUGAAUUGGGAAGGACACAGGGGAGAGCUCGCUGUGUCUGGAGCGGGAACAGGAGCCCUCUCAGAGCCAGAGACCACGUCCUUUCCCACCUCUGCCCCAACCAGCUGCAUCCCCUCAGCCAAGUGCACCUUGUGGAACUCUAGCAAGAGGACGGAAGCAAAUUUCCUCUAAACUUCUUCCUAAACUCAAAAUUCCUAAAGAAGAAAUAAACUUUAUGGAGGAGAACUGGGAGCGGGAGUCAAGGGCCGGAGCCUGGAGGAGAGAGGCUGAGGCAGCACAGAGACAGCCGCUCUCUGCAAGGAAGGGAACUGAGCCCCUGGAACGGAACACCUCCCACAUGGCAGUUCAACAAUGGGCUUCUGGAGAUAAUGGUUCGUGAAGACCUUUAGGCCAGUGGGCAAAGAAGCUAUUCAGGGGACAUGCAGGUCUUCUGGUGGUCCUCAGAGCACCCUGACUCCCUCUAGUCCUUGAGCACACAUCUUGCAUUCAAAUAAGCCCCAUGAGGAGAAAGAAAAUGUAGACAGUAUUCAGCUUGAGAACAUAGCUUAAUGGCUUUUUCGUGUUUGCACAUGUGGAAGAUUGGCCCUGAGCUAACAUCUGUGCCAAUCUUCCUCUAUUUUAGGUUGGACACCGCAACAGUGUGGCUUGACAAGCAGUGCUAGGACUGCAACCGGGAUCCGAACCUGCAAACUCCAGGCUGCUGAAGGGAAUGCACAAACUUAACCCCUACACCAUGGGGCCAGCCCCCAGCUUAAUGGCUUUUGAUAAAAAAAAUUCCUUUAAGAAACUUCCAGAAAGAAACAGCCUGUGCCUUUAGCUCCUUCUGUGAGGAGCCACUCUUCCCAGUGCCUCAGGGGCCAGGAAGCUCACGCUCUGGAACCCCAGAGCCAAAGCCAAGCCUUGUGGCUGACAUUCCGUUUCAAUCUGACUGUUUUUAUAUAAUGUACAGCCCAAGACUGACAACAUGAUACACUUUUGUUUUUCUCCAGAAAGCAAACGAAAAUAAAGCUUUGCACAAGAAAAAAAAUAAAAGCCA